GCAGGAUAAAGCUCAGUUGGUGAGGCACGACCUUGCCAAGGUCGGGGUCGCGAGGAUUCAGUCUCGUUUCCCGCUCCA
rnacentral:tRNA from 1 species